rnacentral:rRNA from 1 species
ACGGCUCAGUAACACGUGGAUAACCUGCCCUAGGGAAGGGGAUAACCCCGGGAAACUGGGGAUAAUACCCUAUAGGUUACAGAUGCUGGAAUGCCCUGUAACCCAAAGUUCCGACGCCCUAGGAUGGAUCUGCGGCCGAUUAGGUUGUUGUUGGGGUAAUGGCCCAACAAGCCCGUAAUCGGUACGGGUUGUGGGAGCAAGAGCCCGGAGUUGGAUUCUGAGACACGAAUCCAGGCCCUACGGGGCGCAGCAGGCGCGAAAACUUUACAAUGCGGGCAACCGUGAUAAGGGAACCUCGAGUGCCUGUAAAUGCAGGCUGUUCAGGUGCCUAAAACACACCUGAAGAAAGGGCCGGGCAAGACCGGUGCCAGCCGCCGCGGUAAUACCGGCGGCUCGAGUGGUGGCCGCUUUUAUUGGGCUUAAAGCGUUCGUAGCUGGGUUGUUAAGUCUCUUGGGAAAUCUGGCGGCUUAACCGUCAGGCGUCUAAGGGAUACUGGCAAUCUUGGAACCGGGAGAGGUGAGGGGUACUUCGGGGGUAGGAGUGAAAUCCUGUAAUCCUCGAGGGACCACCUGUGGCGAAGGCGCCUCACCAGAACGGCUUCGACAGUGAGGGACGAAAGCUGGGGGAGCAAACCGGAUUAGAUACCCGGGUAGUCCCAGCCGUAAACUAUGCGCGUUAGGUGUAUCGGUGACCACGAGUUACCGAGGUGCCGAAGGGAAACCGUGAAACGUGCCGCCUGGGAAGUACGGUCGCAAGGCUGAAACUUAAAGGAAUUGGCGGGGGAG